GCCGCGCGCGCUCGCGCAAGUGUCGGGGGCGGAGUGUGGAGUGCGGGGCGCGGACGCACGUGGGGAGCGUCCUCGACUUCCCCGGCUCCGUGGUUUCCUUCGCUUAGCGUUCGUCGGAUUUCGGCGCCCGGAGCGCGCCCUGCUGCGGGUCCUGGAGCCCUGACUGCCCAGGCAGCCAGGCCGCUGGCCCUGCCUCGGGUGUAGCCUGGACACGCCUGGCCCACUUCCUUUCCCUUCUUUAAGCAUCACAUCCUGCGCUGCCCGUUGUCCAGUGUCCGAAAACCAUUGUUUCUUAUAUUUGAAUUUUUUAGUUGACGGAGGUAAGCUUAAAUCCAGUCGCUAACGCUUCAUCGUGGCCCAACGCAGAGGCCAAUAGAAGUUUGUUGAGACAGUGACUCAGCUGUGCUAUUUAAACUUUUAUUGAAAUGAAGUUCAGCUGAAAGUACAGAGAAAAAAUACAAAAUGCAAAUAGUCCUUUCUUUUUUUCACUUCUCUGAAAGUGAGGUCUAAAGAAGUUACCAAGUUGAUUGGAAAUACGUCAUUGAUUGUUAAAGGCCUAAAAGUUAAAGUUUUUGAUGUACAUUGGAGUAAAUGAUAUACUGAUGAAACAAGAUAAUCUGAAGCUUUAUUGAAGAUAAUUUUUUUCCUAAUGGAAUUAAAUUUUCUAAGAUGGCCACUCCUAUUUGGAAGUUCGUUGAAACAGACUAAAAACAAGUAUCCACGAGCCCUUCUCCACCAGUUGUCCUGGGGAUGCUUCAGUCCUGGGAUGGAACAUAUGCCCAGCUUCAGCUCAUCAGAAAAUCUCAGUGCCCUGGCCAUAGUGACUCACAGUGACGCGGUAGCACUGGAUUGCAUUCUGAAGGGCUGCUGCAACCUUCGUGUGCCGUUCUACGUUUGGGUCCUGUCCCUCAAAAACUCACAGUGCCUCCUCAAAUAAAGAAAAUCCCCUUGCCAUUUCCUGCGUCGUGAAUCUCUUCUUAGCAGUACCAGCUAC